AAAGUGGUCAGCUAUUAAGCUAAUGAGUUCAUACCUCAUAUAUGUGUAUAGUGCCUGAUUAA
rnacentral:tRNA from 1 species